UACGAUCGGUGACAGGUGGUGGCAUGGUUGUCGUCAGCUCGUGUCGUGAGAUGUUGGGUUAAGUCCCGCAACGAGCGCAACCCCUAUUGUUAGUUGCCAUCAUUCAGUUGGGCACUCUAGCGAGACUGCCGGUAAUAAACCGGAGGAAGGUGGGGAUGACGUCAAAUCAUCAUGCCCCUUAUGACCUGGGCUACACACGUGCUACAAUGGUUGGUACAACGAGUUGCGAGUCGGUGACGGCGAGCUAAUCUCUUAAAGCCAAUCUCAGUUCGGAUUGUAGGCUGCAACUCGCCUACAUGAAGUCGGAAUCGCUAGUAAUCGCGGAUCAGCACGCCGCGGUGAAUACGUUCCCGGGCCUU
rnacentral:rRNA from 1 species